GCAUUGCUGAAGAGUCCCAUAAGAGAACGAAACACUUGUCCAGUGC
rnacentral:hammerhead_ribozyme from 1 species